rnacentral:rRNA from 1 species
AGCGAACGCUGGCGGCAGGCCUAACACAUGCAAGUCGAACGAACCUUUCGGGGUUUUUGUCGGACGGGUGUGUAACACGUGGGAACGUUCCUUUAGGUUCGGAAUAACUCUGGGACUCUUGUGCUUAUACCGAAUGUGCCCUUCUGGGGAAAGAUUUAUCGCCUUUAGAGCGUCCCGCGUCUGAUUAGCUAGUUGUUUGUGGUAAUGGUUCACCAAGGCGACGAUAAGUAGUUGGUCUGAGAGGAUGAUCAGCCACAUUGGGACUGAGACACGGACCAAAAUACUACGGAAGGGAGGAGAGGGGAAUGAAGCGAAAUGGGGGAAAGCAUGAAGAAGCCAGGACGGGAGAAUGAUGAAGGUAUGAGGAAAGAAAAAUUGUAUGAACGGGGAAGAUAAUGACGGUACCCGGAGAAGAAGCCCCGGCUAACUACGUG